rnacentral:rRNA from 1 species
CGCGUGGGGAACCUGCCCUAUACAGGGGGAUAACAGCUGGAAACGGCUGCUAAUACCGCAUAAGCGCACAGAAUCGCAUGAUUCAGUGUGAAAAGCCCUGGCAGUAUAGGAUGGUCCCGCGUCUGAUUAGCUGGUUGGUGAGGUAACGGCUCACCAAGGCGACGAUCAGUAGCCGGCUUGAGAGAGUGAACGGCCACAUUGGGACUGAGACACGGCCCAA